rnacentral:rRNA from 1 species
AUGUUCAGCGCUGCUACUGCUAUUUCUCUAGGCGACGAGGAUUCUGGGAGGUUCUGGACGGACAAUUGGCUGCUGAAUGGUUGUUCGAUUGCUACCUCAGCGCCAGAGUUCUUCUCCUUCGUCAAGGACUCUGGCCGUUCUGUCCGUGAGGCCUUGCAUAAUCAAUCCUGGAUAAGAGAAAUCGAAGGCGGCAUAUCUGUGCAGGCGCUCGCCCAGUACCUGUCCGUCUGGGAUAUGGUGCAGGCCACCAUUCUUACGCCAGGUGCAUGGGAUCAGGCAAUCUGGAAGCUUACUAAGGAACUGCUCUUCAUGGCUAAUGUGCGUUUUGCAUGCAACAAACCAAUCUGGAGGUCAAAGGCUCCCCCACGGUGCAAGUUCUUCAUGUGGCUGGCCGUUCAUGGCAAAUGCCUAACAGCAGAUAACCUUCUUCGCCGCGGAUGGCCUGCUAAUGCAUCCUGCCCCCUCUGUCUGUCGGAACCCGAGGCCUGUACGCAUUUGUUUGAGCAUUGCCGAUAUACGCAGUAG